rnacentral:tRNA from 1 species
GCCUUCGUGGUGUAAUGGUCAGCACACUCAGCGGGUAUUCCAGAUGGCCGAGGUUCGAGUCCCGGUGAGGGCA